rnacentral:miRNA from 1 species
UGGUCUUGAUUGAACGUUUACU